rnacentral:tRNA from 1 species
UUGGUUAAAGCCAAAUAGAGGCAUAUCAUUGUUAAUGAUAAAAUUGAAGCUCAACCCCUGGGCAUU